rnacentral:rRNA from 1 species
AGUGAACGCUGGCGGUAGGCCUAACACAUGCAAGUCGAACGGCAGCACAGUAAGAGCUUGCUCUUACGGGUGGCGAGUGGCGGACGGGUGAGGAAUACAUCGGAAUCUACUUUUUCGUGGGGGAUAACGUAGGGAAACUUACGCUAAUACCGCAUACGACUUACGGGUGAAAGCAGGGGAUCUUCGGACCUUGCGCGAGUGAAUGAGCCGAUGUCGGAUUAGCUAGUUGGCGGGGUAAAGGCCCACCAAGGCGACGAUCCGUAGCUGGUCUGAGAGGAUGAUCAGCCACACUGGAACUGAGACACGGUCCAGACUCCUACGGGAGGCAGCAGUGGGGAAUAUUGGACAAUGGGCGCAAGCCUGAUCCAGCCAUACCGCGUGGGUGAAGAAGGCCUUCGGGUUGUAAAGCCCUUUUGUUGGGAAAGAAAAGCAGCAGGUUAAUACCCCGCUGUUCUGACGGUACCCAAAGAAUAAGCACCGGCUAACUUCGUG